UGGUGAUGAUGAUAAUGUUGAUGAAGAUGAUGAUGAAGAUGAUGAUGUUUAUGAUGAUGAUGAUGAUGAUGGUGAUGGUGAUGAUGGUGGUGGUGAUGAUGAUGAUGAUGGUGAUGAUGUUGAUGAUGAUGGUGAUGGUGAUAAUGGUGAUGGUAAUGAAGAUGAUGAUGAUGAUGAUGAUGAUGGUGAUGAUGGUGGUGGUGAUGAUGAUGAUGAUGGUGAUGGUGAUAAUGGUGAUGAUGAUGAUGAUGAUGGUGAUGAUGGUGGUGGUGAUGAUGAUGAUGAUGAUGGUGAUGGUGAUAAUGGUGAUGGUAAUGAAGAUGAUGAUGGUGGUGAUGAUGAUAAUGUUGAUGAAGACAAUGAUGAAGAUGAUGAUGUU